GCUCAGCCGCGCGCUCCGACAGAGGUGCCGGGAGUCUCGUGUGCGCGGUGCCGUUACUCGCAGUCGGGUGGCGGCGCGGGCGGCGGCGGCGGCACAUCUCCGAGCGCACACCGCGCCUUAGCAGCGGCUGAAGCCGAGGCACCCCUGCCGUCACAGCCCUUGCGCUGGUGCAUCCACCCUCGCUCGCUCUGCUCUUCCUCCCUUCGCUCGCACCAUGGCUGAUCAGCUGACUGAAGAGCAGAUUGCUGAAUUCAAGGAAGCUUUCUCCCUAUUUGAUAAAGAUGGUGAUGGCACCAUCACAACAAAGGAAUUAGGAACUGUCAUGAGGUCACUGGGUCAAAACCCAACAGAAGCUGAGCUGCAGGAUAUGAUCAAUGAAGUGGAUGCCGAUGGUAAGGGCUUUAGAACCGUGAGCA